rnacentral:rRNA from 1 species
UGGGCAACCUGCCCCAGACACAGGGAUAACCCCCGGGAAACCGGAGCUAAUACCGGAUACUCCGGCUGGAUCGCAUGGUCCGGCCGGGAAAGGUCCGCCGGAGAGGGAUGGGCCCGCGGCCUAUCAGCUUGUUGGUGAGGUCACGGCUCACCAAGGCUACGACGGGUAGCUGGUCUGAGAGGACGACCAGCCACACUGGGACUGAGACACGGCCCAGACUCCUACGGGAGGCA